AAUGAUUCAUUAAGUCUUGAUUCUUUUUUUAUCGAAUGGACACCAAAUAGAAUCACAAGAAUCAUCUAAGAUGGGACCUACAUAUGGAAGAAGGAUGAUAAAGGGGUAUCUUGCCAUGAAAGGAGUGCAUGCUGCAGAGACUCGAAUUGGAACAGUGCGUAGAACUAUGCAUCAGUCUUACCAUGAAGCAAGACGUCAGGGUGCCCGCAAUCUCAACCCCAUACCAUAUUAAGCUUACAUGGGCCAUAAGAUCCAUAUGGACCAAAACGAAAAACUGGCUAUGUUUGGGGUCACCCAUGUUUUAGCCAUUGAUGGCUUCAGCAAAAAGGUUGUUGCUCAUUCUACAAUGCCUAUAAAAAAACAAUCUUGCCGUCUAUGAAGAUGUUUUCAGGUAACAGCCUAUGUCUUGUAGUGGACACUAAAGGGAUUGCAUACACACGGCUAAGAAUGUGACUAAACUGUUGAACACCUACAUUGUUAUGAACCAUAUUAUACAGAAAAUAACUGAUUUGGAACAGUUACGUUUAAAAAGUUUAUUAAAAUUGACUUUUUCAUCCAA